rnacentral:rRNA from 1 species
AUUGAACGCUGGCGGCAGGCCUAACACAUGCAAGUCGAACGGUAGCACAGAGAGCUUGCUCUCGGGUGACGAGUGGCGGACGGGUGAGUAACGUCUGGGAAACUGCCCGAUGGAGGGGGAUAACUACUGGAAACGGUAGCUAAUACCGCAUAACGUCGCAAGACCAAAGUGGGGGACCUUCGGGCCUCACACCAUCGGAUGUGCCCAGAUGGGAUUAGCUAGUAGGUGGGGUAAUGGCUCACCUAGGCGACGAUCCCUAGCUGGUCUGAGAGGAUGACCAGCCACACUGGAACUGAGACACGGUCCAGACUCCUACGGGAGGCAGCAGUGGGGAAUAUUGCACAAUGGGCGCAAGCCUGAUGCAGCCAUGCCGCGUGUAUGAAGAAAGCCUUCGGGUUGUAAAGUACUUUCAGCGGGGAGGAAGGCGGUGAAGUUAAUAACUUCACCGGUUGACGUUACCCGCAGAAGAAGCACCGGCUAACUCCGUGCCAGCAGCCGCCGUAA